rnacentral:lncRNA from 1 species
CCGCCAGACAGACUGAAAGUCCCUGGGAAAGUGAAAGGGGGAGGGGGAGGGAGGCCCAAGUUUAAGGUCUCCGACUCUUAAAGAGACAAGACACUUCAGUCUUAGUGCAUCCCCAGCGGUCAGCUCGGGCCCUCGGGCCCUCCCACUCCUCUUCUCUGGGUUUGCACGCCCCGGGGGUAUUUCUCCCAGCACACCCGCCCCUGGGUCUCGGAACGGGAAGCAGCGGCUCCUGCGCGGCCCCUUCCUGACUGUCUGGCCCGGGUUGAGCCUGUCUGCAGCCCUCCCCUCUCUACUACCCCGCCUCCGUCUCCCCACCGAUCUUCGGUCCUUAAGAGGGAGGGGGCUGCUGCAGAUUCUGCAUGAGAAUGAAGGGACUAUGGAGAUGGGAAGACCACAUCCAGCAGACAUGUAA